rnacentral:rRNA from 1 species
AACGAACGCUGGCGGCAUGCCUAACACAUGCAAGUCGAACGAGACCUUCGGGUCUGGUUGCGCACGCGUGCGUAACGCGUGGGAACCUGCCCUUAGGUUCGGAAUAACUCCCCUAAAGGGGUGCUAAUGCCGGGUAAUGUAUUCGGAUAAAAGAUUGAUCGCCUUUGGGUGGGCCCGCGUUGGAUUAGCUAGUUGGUAGGGUAAAAGCCUACCAAGGCGACGCUCCAUAGCUGGUCUGAGAGGAUGAUCAGCCACACUGGGACUGAGACACGGCCCAGACUCCUACGGGAGGCAGCAGUGGGGAAUAUUGGACAAUGGGCGAAAGCCUGAUCCAGCAAUGCCGCGUGAGUGAUGAAGGUCUUAGGGUUGUAAAGCUCUUUUACCCGGGAUGAUAAUGACAGUACCGGGAGAAUAAGCACCGGCUAACUUCGUG